UCUUCGUUAGUAUAACGGUUAGUAUAUCCGCUUCUCAUGAGCGACUACAGUCGUUUCUUUCCGCGGGUGAUCUGGGUUCGAUUCCCAGACGGAGAA